rnacentral:rRNA from 1 species
UACGGGGGGGGCAAGCGUUGUUCGGAAUUACUGGGCGUAAAGGGUUCGUAGGUGGCCUACUAAGUCAGACGUGAAAUCCCUCAGCCUAACUGGGGAACUGCGUCUGAUACUGGGGGGCUUGAGGACAGGAGAGGAACGCGGAAUUCCAGGUGUAGCGGUGAAAUGCGUAGAUAUCUGGAGGAACACCGGUGGCGAAGGCGGCGUUCUGGACUGUUUCUGACACUGAGGAACGAAAGCCAGGGGAGCAAACGGG